GCCACUGUGGCCAAGUCGUUACGGCGUCGCUCUCGUAAAGCGAAGAUCGUGUGUUCAAAUCACACCAGUGGCU
rnacentral:tRNA from 1 species